rnacentral:rRNA from 1 species
UCAUUAAAGAAAUUUAAUAAUUUUGAAAAUGGAUUUUUUUGUUUUGGCAAGAGCAUGAGAGCUUUUACUGGGCAAGAAGACAAGAGAUGGAGAGUCCAGCCGGGCCUGCGCUUAAGUGCGCGGUCUUGCUAGGCUUGUAAGUUUCUUUCUUGCUAUUCCAAACGGUGAGAGAUUUCUGUGCUUUUGUUAUAGGACAAUUAAAACCGUUUCAAUACAACACACUGUGGAGUUUUCAUAUCUUUGCAACUUUUUCUUUGGGCAUUCGAGCAAUCGGGGCCCAGAGGUAACAAACACAAACAAUUUUAUCUAUUCAUUAAAUUUUUGUCAAAAACAAGAAUUUUCGUAACUGGAAAUUUUAAAAUAUUAAAAACUUUCAACAACGGAUCUCUUGGUUCUCGCAUCGAUGAAGAACGCAGCGAAAUGCGAUACGUAAUGUGAAUUGCAGAAUUCCGUGAAUCAUCGAAUCUUUGAACGCACAUUGCGCCCCUUGGUAUUCCAGGGGGCAUGCCUGUUUGAGCGUCAUUUCCUUCUCAAACAUUCUGUUUGGUAGUGAGUGAUACUCUUUGGAGUUAACUUGAAAUUGCUGGCCUUUUCAUUGGAUGUUUUUUUUCCAAAGAGAGGUUUCUCUGCGUGCUUGAGGUAUAAUGCAAGUACGGUCGUUUUAGGUUUUACCAACUGCGGCUAAUCUUUUUUAUACUGAGCGUAUUGGAACGUUAUCGAUAAGAAGAGAGCGUCUAGGCGAACAAUGUUCUUAAAGU